AGAAAUAUAGUUAAAGUAUAACAUUUAUUUUGCUAAUAAAAAUUAUUUAAUAUAAAUUAUUUUUA
rnacentral:tRNA from 1 species